UACAGAGGGGGGCAAGCUUAUUCGGAAUUAUUGGGCGUAAAGGGCGCGUAGGCGGCCUGGCAAGUGGAUGGUGAAAUCCCUCGGCUUAACCGAGGAACUGCCAUCCAGACUGCUUGGCUUGAGACCGGGAGAGGUGAGUGGAAUUCCCAGUGUAGCGGUGAAAUGCGUAGAUAUUGGGAGGAACACCAGUGGCGAAGGCGGCUCACUGGACCGGUACUGACGCUGAUGCGCGAAAGCGUGGGGAGCAAACAGG
rnacentral:rRNA from 1 species